rfam:Myotis davidii contig107379, whole genome shotgun sequence.
GCUGAGUAGCUCAGUCGGUUAGAGCAUUGCCCUAAUAUGCCAAGGUUGUGGGUUCGACCCCCAUUCUUGGCA